GGGAUUGUGGCUCAGUGGUAGAGCACUUGUCUAGCACAAAUGCGGCAUACGGUUCGAUCCUCAGCACCA
rnacentral:tRNA from 1 species